GUGAAAUCGCGCGCGCUGGCGGCCGUCGUAGACCGUGCAGCUCUCCUUGGGUGGCUGCGAGUGCCUUGGCCGUGGGCCCUGUGCGCGGCCAGCCCCGGCGGCGGGAGGGCGAUAAUUGCCCAGAGACGCAGCACUUACCUGGGCCGGUUGUGCAAGGCGCGCGGGGGGAGGCCCCGGGCGGCGGCUCUCACGCCUCAGCGGCCAGGCAUGCGCGGGGGCGAGGGCGGGCCAGGGUCCCGGGGAGCGCCUCCAGCGGUUCCCGUUGCGGACGCCGCCCCAUUCUUCAGGAAAGAGCCGCCGCCCGUCACCGCUGGGGAUGGGGAGACCCGCGCUCCCAUCCCGCUUGGCCACCUGCUGGGGUGAGUGGCGUCGGUCUAGUUCCACACGUGCCUCUGAACCCCAAGCGCCUCCUCUGUGUACUAGGGGUAAAAACGCCACCUCUCUGAUCCUCUGGUUGAGAGGAUUAGAAAUGAUGCAGGUGAGGCCUGGAACACUGCCAGACACACAUUAGGUACAUGGAAUGGUGGCCUCGAUGCCCACAGACUGCCAGUCAAAACUAGGGUUAAAGUUGUGUCUCCCACUGACUUGCUGGUGACUUUGGGAUGUUUACCUCCCCUCUCUGGUCUUCAGUUUCCUCUUCAGAAAUUGGAGUUUGAUGCUCACCUUCAUCGUGGGCCAGGAUGAUGGCCUGUGCUAGCCGUCCUUGAAAAGGCGAGGCCGGGCUGAGGGUGCACUGGGUUUAGACAUAGCAAGUGUCUCCUGUCACUUGUGCCUAGUUCCUGGGGCCAUGGUCCUUGGAGCUGCUGUUAGAGAGGGAUGGAGUGGGACAGGGUAUCCUGACCUUACACCAGGAUCCCUAGAAGUGUGAUCACACAUACACACAUAGGCACACACAUAUACACAUACAUCACACUACAUACACACAGGUGCACACACAACCCAGGGAGGUCUGACAGGAGCUGCAGUCACCCAGCACCUUCUUUGAGCCUUUGAGGCCAGUCCUCCCCAGGGCUUUAAGGUGGUGUUGCUGUCCCAACCAACAAGUAAGGAACUGAGGCAAGAGGAGGGCAGGUAAGCUUGGUCCUGGGGGCAGCCACUUGCAGUGGGGCCUCAUUCUACACCAACACUUUGAGAUUGUAGUCCAACCUUGGGAAGGAAGCAGAGCUAGUCACUUGCUCAGGCUCAAGUCUGGGGUGCCCAAAGACAGUUCCAUAGGGGAGCCACUCUUUGGAUCUGGCCUGAGAGUCCCUGCUUUCCUCCUUCCCCUUUUUAAACCUUGAAAGUAUGCAGGACAAAAAGACUCAAAGAAUUAUAUAAAAAUAAUAAAUACCCGUCAUCCAAAAUAAAAAAUGUUAAAUUAAAAAAGGAGAAGUGGCUGGGCGCGGUGGCUCACGCCUGUAAUCCCAACACUUUGGGAGGCCGAGGCGAGCGGAUCACAAGGUCAGGAGUUUGAGACCAGCCUGGCCAAUAUGGUGAAACCCCGUCUCUACUAAAAAUACAAAAAAACUAGCCGGGCAUGGUGGCACGCUCCUGUAGUCCCAGCUACUCGGGAGGCUGAGGCAGGAGAAUCGCUUGAACUCAGGAGGCAGAGGUUGAAGUGAAUCCAGAUUGCGCCACUGCACUCCAACCUGGGCAAUAGAGGGAGACUCCGUCUCAAAAAAAAAAAAAAAAAAAAAAAAAAAAGGAGAAGUUAGAGUAUGAUGGUUCCCACUUCACCAAUCUGUUGGGAGGAUUAAAAUAAUAAGGUGACCCUUGGAAAGUGUGAGGGAUAUACCUGCAUCAGAUUCUCCCAACCACUGUCCUCCUUGCCCUCAGCUUCCGUGACAACAGGCACUCCUGGUUUUCUUCCUACCUCUCUGGCUGCUCCUUCCAGUCUUUUUGCAGGUUCCCACUCACUUACACAUGCCUUAAAAGUCGGUGGGCUUAGGGGUAACCAAUUUAGGCAUCCCUCUCUUGUAGGCAUCCCUCUCUUGUAGGCAUCCCACUCUUCCUUGGGAUGACUUAGUGAUUACAUCCUCUCCAAGACUUCAGGUCCCAGUGUCCUGCGAUUGUAUGAGAUUUUAAUUUUGUUCGUUUUGCUAAUUCAUAUCUUCUGUAUUUGCUCUCAAAUUGUGUGAUUUUUUAAAUAAAUCAUUUUUAAAUAAAAUGUUUAUUGA
rnacentral:lncRNA from 10 species